CAGUCGCCGCGGGAAUACGUAGGGUGCAAGCGUUAAUCGGAAUUACUGGGCGUAAAGCGUGCGCAGGCGGUUGUGCAAGACAGAUGUGAAAUCCCCGAGCUUAACUUGGGAACUGCAUUUGUGACUGCACGGCUAGAGUGUGUCAGAGGGGGGUAGAAUUCCACGUGUAGCAGUGAGAUGCGUAGAUAUGUGGAGGAAUACCGAUGGCGAAGGCAGCCCCCUGGGAUAACACUGACGCUCAUGCACGAAAGCGUGGGGAGCAAACAGGAUUAGAGACCCGCGUAGUCCCUGUCUCUUAUAC
rnacentral:rRNA from 1 species